rnacentral:rRNA from 1 species
AUUGAACGCUGGCGGCAUGCUUUACACAUGCAAGUCGAACGGUAACAGGGAGCUUGCUCCGCUGACGAGUGGCGAACGGGUGAGUAAUGCGUCGGAACGUGCCGAGUAGUGGGGGAUAACGCAUCGAAAGGUGUGCUAAUACCGCAUACGUACUGAGGUAGAAAGUGGGGGACCUUCGGGCCUCACGCUAUUCGAUCGGCCGACGUCUGAUUAGCUAGUUGGUGAGGGAAAGGCUCACCAAGGCGACGAUCAGUAGCGGGUCUGAGAGGAUGAUCCGCCACACUGGGACUGAGACGCGGCCCAGACUCCUACGGGAGGCAGCAGUGGGGAAUUUUGGACAUUGGGCGCAAGCCUGAUCCAGCCAUGCCGCGUGUCUGAAGAAGGCCUUCGGGUUGUAAAGGACUUUUGUCCGGGAGCAAAUGCCUGGUGUUAAUAGCACUGGGAGCUGAGAGUACCGGAAGAAUAAGCACCGGCUAACUACGUGCCAGCCGCCGCGGUAAUAC